rnacentral:rRNA from 1 species
GACGAACGCUGGCGGCGUGCCUAAUACAUGCAAGUAGGACGCAGUUGCGAACGGGUGAGUAACGCGUCUGUAACUGCCUAUUAGAGGGGGCUAACUAUUGGAAACGAUAGCUAAUACCGCAUACUAGUAGAUUGACCUGCGUUGUAUUAGCUAGUAUGUAGGGUAAUGGCCUACCUAGGCGACGGUACAUAGCCGACCUGGGGAGGAGAUCGGCCACACUGGGAAUGGGACAAGGCCCAAGCUCCUACGGGAGGCAGCAAGAGGGGAACUUCGGCAAAUGGGGGAAACCUGAACGAGGAAAGCCGGGUGAGUGAAGAAGGUUUUCGGGUCGGAAAACUGUGUUGGUAAGGAAGCGGUACUUAACCAGAAAGGGACGGCUAACUACGUGCCAGCAGCCGCGGUAAUUC